CCCGGCCAGUUUCCUGUGCAAGAAUACUCAAGGGCAGGUGGAAGAGACACCUCCCUCUCCCUACCAUCGCGUGGAGGUGGGGUACUGUAUCCGCCGGACAGAAAGGGCAGUACCCGGUAGAGGAGGAAAGGACAGAUUCGCUUUCUGAGCUAAGUGUAUGGGAUUUUAAGUUUAUUAGAUUCGGAUAUAACCCCUUUCACUUCGUUUUUGAUUUGAUUCCACAUAUUCCUGGAGAGGAAAUUGCUGCUUUCCAGCGAGCAGAGAUGAAGAGAGCUGUGUCUGCAGGCAGACUGAAGGUGCAACAAAUGAGCAGAGUAAAGCUAGCGAGUCCUUAGCAUUCACACAAAGACUCAUCGAGUGUGAGUAAGGAUCAUUUUAAUUCCAAUCGGAAAAACGCUUCAGUUGUGGUCUCAUACGUCUUAAAACUAGCACGGCCAGAAGUUACAAUGCGCCACAGAAGUUUGGGUCGCAGGUUCACACCGCGCAGGAUUAAAGGAAAGAACAUCCAAAGAACAUUACAAGGACCCUACAUGACUGACAGGAACUUACAGAUAGUUUGCACUUGGGUUCAUGUUGAAGAGAAAGUCGGCAAAUUUCCACACACAGGAGGAAAAUACUUGGAAUCAGAGUAACACACACAAAAUGGAGGAGGAACUCAGCAGGACAAGCAGAUCUAUGGAGAUGAAUAAAGAGCCAACACUUCUGGACAAAACCCUUCAUCUGGACUAGUGUUUGGAACCAGGUUGUGGUUUCAAAAUACGGAGUCAUUUAUUCAUGGUUAGAAGCUCAAAUAAGUGUCUUCACCCAGUGGGGAGUGAAUUUACCCCGCCCCUUCCCCCAGAAGAACUCUUAAGGUUUAGUGGCUGGGUAUAUUCAAAACAGGGGUCAAGUUGCUUUUAAUCAUUAAGGGAAUCAAGGCAUAUUGAGUUAAUGCAGGAGAGUGGACAUAAAGUAAAAAUCUGCUAUGAUCUUAUUAAAUGAUGGAGCAGUGUGAUGAAUUAAUUGGCCUACAGCUCUGAUAUUACAUUUCCGAUAUUACAUUUUUUCUUAGCUGAACCCAUGUUGUUAAGAUUCCAUUAAGGC